ACAAUAUGCAAGAUAAUCUUCAUGGGUGUCGGACUGAGAGCGGGAAGCACAGCGAACUGGUGCAAGGAUUGGAGGGCAGUUUGGAAUACUACAAAGGCCAAAACUCAAACCUUGAGUAUUCUCUACAAAGUUGCCGGAGUCAAUCAUGGAAAUUGCUGUACGAUAACAUUUUGUG